GACGAACGCUGGCGGCGUGCUUAACACAUGCAAGUCGAACGGAAAGGCCCUGCUUGCAGGGUACUCGAGUGGCGAACGGGUGAGUAACACGUGGGUGAUCUGCCCUGCACUUCGGGAUAAGCCUGGGAAACUGGGUCUAAUACCGGAUAGGAGCCAUUUUUAGUGUGAUGGUUGGAAAGUUUUUUCGGUGUAGGAUGAGCUCGCGGCCUAUCAGCUUGUUGGUGGGGUAAUGGCCUACCAAGGCGGCGACGGGUAGCGGGCCUGAGAGGGUGGACGGCCACAUUGGGACUGAGAUACGGCCCAGACUCCUAAGGGAGGCAGCAGUGGGGAAUAUUGCACAAUGGGCGCAAGCCUGAUGCAGCGACGCCGCGUGGGGGAUGACGGCCUUCGGGUUGUAAACUCCUUUCGCUAGGGACGAAGCUUUUUGUGACGGUACCUAGAUAAGAAGCACCGGCUAACUACGUG
rnacentral:rRNA from 1 species